UAUGAUUGUAAUCGAGUGCAAGUGUGGUAAUGUGAAGAAAAGUCUGCACAAAGUUUAUUACCGACAUGUAUAGAAGAAAUGCCAUGUUUUUAUUUUGUUCAGUGGAGAUUUUGUACUUCGUCAAGCAUGUAUACUAAAGGUUGUACGUGUGCGUGCGUGAGAAGCGACUGUGCGCGAUAGCUCACUUGUAAAUAGGUUCAGAUUGGACAGCAAAACAUUGCAUGGCCAGCGUUCUGAGGCUGGGGCUGCAGUUCCACCCACGGCCUGCGGGGGCAGUGUUUUGCAUGUUCUGUCUGUGGUGCUGUAUCGGCCUUUUUGCCUCUGUUUUCGGAGGCGGUUUGGGUCUGUGGGAGCAUGUUGGAUAUUUAUAGUGUAGCUUUUCUGUUUUUCAAACACCAUAAAACUGUGUAACUGCAUUAUCACUCCCUCUUUAUGUCAUUUUUGUCAUUUUUUUUUGCCCCCCUCCUCCAUUUGACUCAGUGUGGAUCAUUCUCGGCGAGGACGAGAUGUGAACUUUAUUGCCUUUUGUGCAGUACGAAUGCGGAUGUAUGUGCUGGUUUGAUGGCUGGUGUCCAGUCAGUCGCCAUGACGCUGUGAUCUGUAUGUACGUGGGUGUGUGAGCGACUUGCGUUACUAUUUUCAUUGCUGUCGGGGGGGAAAAGAGACAAGAAGAAACGAUAAGAGAUUUAUUUUUUUAUCGUUACAUACAAAGUAUUUGAACUUCUAUAAUUUGGAGCACUUUUGAGGCUGCUACCUUAUUGUAUUUUUGUUUUCUGUGUAAUGUUGUUUUAUUCCUUUAUUUCCAUUGUUUUUGCCUCUUUGGGAAGUAUAUUACAAAUGAAUGUAUUCCUAAACAAAGCAAAAUGUAUAACGGAGGCCAGACUCCACCCGUCUCUCCACCCAAGCGAAGGAGCGCGAGGAGAAAGACGGAAAGACGCGGUGGUCAGUGAAAAUACGGAGUGUCUCCUCCUGCUGUUUCUUCCAGAAAUUUUCUCCAGCAGCGGGAACACGGCACAUCCGGACCUCCGGGCUCGAGGAGGGUCUUCAUCCUGGCCUACAGAGCCAAGGACCUGCGGGGUGUAGCAUUAGACUUACUGAUGUUUGUGUUUUUGUUUUGUUUUCUGACAAAUUAAGGAUUUGGUUCCUUUUUUUAUUUAUUCUUUAUGCUUUCUGUCAAAUUUUGAACUUAGAUAUUUUUUUUCGAGAGAAAUUAAGGAUUAAGUCCUUGUUUUCUUUCAAAUCUGCUGAAAUUAGAUUUUUUUUUCAUUUUCUUAAGACUUUUUGCUACUUUCUGACAAAAAAAAAUAUUUUUUUCUUUUUUUUCACAUUUUUUGUUUGUACCUUUUGAAUUCGGCCCAGUUCUUCACAAAAGACGAGAAGAGACGGACUCUUGAAGACGAGGGCCGAGGAGUUAGCGGUACUUAAUCUAGAGGAAACAAUCCAUGCUUUAAGCGUAUUUUGCUCUUCGUCCUCGCUCUCGACCCUGGAUUAUAUUUUUGCAAAAUAAAGAGGAGGUGACGGAAAAAAAAACAGCCGAUUAAGCUGAACGCUCCUCAGGAGGUCGAGGUCGUCUUGUUCUCACCUCAGAGCCUCUGUUUCUGGAGAGAUGGACUUGAGUACUCUUUGUCAAAUGAAGGAAAAUCCUACACCAUUCCAGAAAAAUGGUUGGUUGAAUGUUUGACAAAAAACCCUUUAUAGUAGAGAAAAAAUAUUUUCAAAUUGCCUUUCAGAAAAAAAAUUAGCGUGUGGAAAAAAAACUGCGCUCGUCCAGUUGUUGAGCCCAGAGCCUUUAGACUGGUCAGAAACAUGAAUGUUUGGAUUCGGACGCAGGAAGAACUUCCAGCCAUUCCACAUUCGUUCUCGUGGACUAAAUCCCAGAGACUGCGGUCGUCAGUUUCAUUCCUCGAGGAGGAGGAAGAUUUCCACAACGCCGCGAUCGGCUUACAGCAUCGCAGAAGAUGUGGAUUAUAAACCCCCUCAGGACCCGAGCAGGAAGAUCAGCUCCCUUGUGGGCGUGGCCUCUGCUCUGAAGCUCCACUCUGCCCUCCGGUGGCCGAUGGAUAUAAAGACUAACGCCAGGAUUCAGCUGCCAUUCGCCCAGCAUGAGCGAGACUGAACCUGAAGCCUCUCUCACUCGUUUCUCUCAUACAUGCUUUCUUUCUCUACUUCACCCUUUCCUUCUCUCCUUUUACAACAUUCUACCCCCCUUUUCUCUUCAUCUCUCCUUUUUAGACUGGUGGUUCUCAAACUGGUCCUCAGCCACUCCGUGUUUUUGCUGUAACCCAGCUCCUGUUGCACCUGUACGAGGUAGUCAGUGCUCUGAAUGACUUGAUUCAGGUGUUUCAGGAAAUGAGCGAGAGCAAAAAUGUGACCCGGCUUGGGCGGGGGGUGCUGAGGACCACUGCAGUAGACCACUCUUUUGAGACUGUUCCUGGCAGAGUGAAGCUAUGAGAGCCCUGUUUACACCUGGUUGUUUUGUGUUUUUGACUUGCAUCAAGAGUUUAACCACAUGCAUUUACACUUAGUAAUCAAAUGCGUCUUCAGUUAGAUUGAGGCGUGAUUUCUGUUUGUGGCGCAGUAUGCAAAUCAGGCCAUAUGCAGCCAAUCACCUGUGUUGUUAUUAGUUUUUCCUUUUCUAUUCGAAAUAUGGUUAUCACUUUAAAAAUCUCAAAUUUCCAUGGCGCUAUACUUUCCUCAUGUCGAUGUUUACAAGAAGACGACCGUGUAGAAUAAUCAGCCUCCUGUAUUAGUCAUCAGAGUCAUGAGCCACCUGCGUUAAAGCGUGAUGUAUUGUAGCGAGACAAAGUAAAGUUUAACCAAACCGCUGCUUUAUUUUAACCAGCUUGGACCAGGCUGCACGAUCCGACUCGGAGGAGGAGCUCACAUCUGAAUUGAAUGCCUCUGUUUAGUAUCAGCGGUCAAGGAGGCUUUGUUUUUCCAUAUGCAGAGCAGCAAAGGGUGGACUCGUGAUUGUGUCUUGGUGAGACAGAUGCAUUUGCAUCUGGUUAAAAUGUUCCUCCUCCUGAAGUGGUUUGAGGGAUCUGUUUUAAAUGUACAGGGAGAUUCACUCGAAAGAGGCCCCGAAUAUUCUGUAAUAACUCUCUCCAGGACGAAGCAAUCUGAACAAAACAACACGCAAUGAGCUCCUCAGUAUAUGGAGCUUCUAACAAGCCGGGAUGCCCCUGCACUGGAGCGAUGAGGUAGGCGCCGGACAGCCGUCGCCACAUCUAACCUCCGAUAGCAGCUUCCGGGUGCAUAGCCCCCAUACGCCUUCAUGUGUCUGGCAGAAAACGGAGAUCACUUCCAGCUUCGCAUGUAAUGCAAUCGAUGACAUACAUCAAGGUAUGCAGAAUAUUUCUUUGGUUCAGAUUGCUUCAUCCUAACGGGGGUUACAACAGAAUAUUCGGGGCCUCUUUCGAGUGAAUCUCCCUGUAUCUUGGGUUUACACUUAGAUUUUUAUGUGGAUAAUCUCUGUCUGGAUAUCUCAUGUUUUAGACUACACCACAAAUGAGUGCUGAUAAACCGAUGUACAAACAGUGCAACCACGCUAAAGUUCGCCCCUUUAGAGUCAGGAAAGUUUGUCACAUCUUAAAUGAAAAUGUUCCUCUGUCCCCUCUCGUUUUAUCUAAGGUAGUCCAGUUUGUUUUCAAGGCAGUGGACACAAAGGAACAGCCAUCUUUUUUGGGAUCAAGCCCAAAGGCUGCCUGACUCAGUCAGCUGCAUAAGACAAUGAUGAUGUGGCCUCAGGGUUGUAACCUGCUAAACAGGUCGUGGACCAGCUGGUACUGAAGAGUGAAUGACUAAUGUUUUCCAAAUUUAGGUCGGAGGGCCGAGCGUACGCGACACGUGAGACGAAUGACUUGGAAAAAUUAGACUAAGCUGAAGUGACGACUUGUUCGAAUUUCUCGUUGCACCUUAAGUGCUGCAGCAGGUACAUUCAGGCCUGUGCAGGUGCCAGAAUGUAAUUGCGGCUCCAUUUAAGGUGGAUUGGAAAAUCGGAUCUAACAAAGCUCCCUAAUAAGAAACCAACUGGUUGAAAUUCGGAUGUAAAACAGCAUUUAGCCCCGGGCCGGCCGAGCUAGCGUUAGAAAGCAGUAUUGACAGGUUUAUAAGAAAUUUUUUCAGCUUAGUUUUUAUUUUGCGCAGUAGAAAUAUUUACUUUAGAAGUGGUUCUUAUUAAAAAAGUGACAGUCACAGAAUAAUUACUGCUACAAAAAUAGGUUUACCAAAAAAUGCGUACCGUAAAACUAAAAAUUUUAAUUAUACCAUGAUAUUAAUUUUUUGUAAUACCGCCCAAUACAAACCAGGUGUAAACAGGAUCUGAGAGUGUGUAUUUGUGUCUGUGGAGAGGCUACAUGCGCACAGGCGUGUGUGUGUAUUUGGCUCUGAAUGCCAUGUAAAUAAUGUAAAUGAUUAACGUCCCUGUCUCAGUUUCAGUAACCUCAGUCCUUUUUUUUCUCCCCUUUUGGUUUGUUUUUCAUGCCUUAACUGUACAGAAUAGAAGUACAAUGGACAAUUUUAGCUUAACUCGCUAAUCCGCACUCAUUAGAUUAAACAGAUUCUCUUCUGUGUACAGUGCUCAUCUCCAGUAUGUGUUCCCCACUCAGCAGAGUGUGUGUCUGAUUCUGGAGCUGGAGAACACCACACCGUGCUGUGGAACCAUACUUUCACGUUGCUCUGUAUGUAUUGUUCCUCUGUUUAACGUGAAGCAGUUUUUGAAACAUACGGACUGAUGACUCCUGAUGUAUUAUCAAGUUUGAAAGAGUAAUUUUAGCGUUAAAAAUAAAGACUGAUAUAGACCUCCCUCUGGAAGAGCCAGCAGACGAGAGGACGUCAGAGAGGAGGGAGGAGAGCCUGGUGGAUAAGCGGGAGUAGUUUUUGUGUUUUUUGAGAAGAUCAAAAUAUGUUAAACUGAUAAUAAAGUUUUUAAGUGGUG